rnacentral:rRNA from 1 species
GAUGAACGCUGGCGGCGUGCCUAAUACAUGCAAGUCGAGCGAAUGGAUUAAGAGCUUGCUCUUAUGAAGUUAGCGGCGGACGGGUGAGUAACACGUGGGUAACCUGCCCAUAAGACUGGGAUAACUCCGGGAAACCGGGGCUAAUACCGGACAACAUUUUGAACCGCAUGGUUCGAAAUUGAAAGGCGGCUUCGGCUGUCACUUAUGGAUGGACCCGCGUGGCAAUAGCUAGUUGGUGAGGUAACGGCGCACCAAGGCAACGAUGCGUAGCCGACCUGAGAGGGUGAACGGCCACACUGGGACUGAGACACGGACCAAACUCCAACGGGAGGCAGCAGUAGGGAAUCUUCCGCAAUGGACGAAAGUCUGACGGAGCAAGGCCGCGUGAGUGAUGAAGGCUUUCGGGUCGUAAAACUCUGUUGUUAGGGAAGAACAAGUGCUAGUUGAAUAAGCUGACACCUGGACGGUACCUAACCAGAAAGCCACGGCUAACUACGUGCCAGCCGCCGCAGUAA